rnacentral:rRNA from 1 species
AUUGAACGCUGGCGGCAUGCCUUACACAUGCAAGUCGAACGGUAACAGGUCUUCGGAUGCUGACGAGUGGCGAACGGGUGAGUAAUACAUCGGAACGUGCCUAGUAGUGGGGGAUAACUACUCGAAAGAGUGGCUAAUACCGCAUGAGAUCUACGGAUGAAAGCAGGGGAUCGCAAGACCUUGUGCUACUAGAGCGGCCGAUGGCAGAUUAGGUAGUUGGUGGGAUAAAAGCUUACCAAGCCGAAGAUCUGUAGCUGGUCUGAGAGGACGAUCAGCCGCACUGAGACGGAGACACGGCCAAGACGCCUACGGGUGGCAGCAGUGGGGAAUUUUGGACAAUGGGCGAAAGCCUGAUCCAGCAAUGCCGCGUGCAGGAUGAAGGCCUUCGGGUUGUAAACUGCUUUUGUACGGAACGAAAAGCCCCGGGUUAAUACCCUGGGGUCAUGACGGUACCGUAAGAAUAAGCACCGGCUAACUACGUGCCAGCCGCCGCCGUAA